CUGCAUGAAUUUCAUAUUGUAUAUUGUAAGGCACAACAUGUAUUUCAAUACUUGAAUAUAUAUAUCUGUUAGAUAUCUGUUGGACUAACAUGUUGCAGGGCCUCCUUAGACCUAUUGGUCGAGCUUUUCCCUUAGGUGGCCGUACCCACUGGGAACCAUGGAGUUGGUUCUCACCCCACGUUGUUUUGGGGUGUUACAGGUUCGCACGUGAGCGGCGCGGCGGCGCAAAGUGAGGGUGUAGCUCCAUAGAUAGCGCCCUACCCCAAAGACCAGAGAUAGAGGUACCCCGAGUCGGCAUAGCCUAGGGGUAGAGGGAAAAGAAAAAAGAGCAAACUUGUAAUAAUAUUGCGAUUAUUAAUUGUAUUUGGAAGAAAAUGUAAUGUAAUAAUUCUAAUGUGAUGUAAAAAUGAAUCUAAUGGGAAUGUUUGUAAUAACAUAGGAUGUGUUAUGUUAUUUGAUACUCUCCUUAUGCAAUCUUUCUUGAAUACUGUUCCUGGUUGGAACAUCUUGUACUUGUAUUGAUUGCGAUGCCUAGG
rnacentral:lncRNA from 1 species